GAUGAACGCUAGCUACAGGCUUAACACAUGCAAGUCGAGGGGAAACGACAUCGAAAGCUUGCUUUUGAUGGGCGUCGACCGGCGCACGGGUGAGUAACGCGUAUCCAACCUGCCCACCACUUGGGGAUAACCUUGCGAAAGUAAGACUAAUACCCAAUGAUAUCCCACGAAGGCAUCCGAAUGGGAUUAAAGAUUUAUCGGUGAUGGAUGGGGAUGCGUCUGAUUAGCUUGUUGGCGGGGUAACGGCCACCAAGGCAACGAUCAGUAGGGGUUCUGAGAGGAAGGUCCCCCACAUUGGAACUGAGACACGGUCCAAACUCCUACGGGAGGCAGCAGUGAGGAAUAUUGGUCAAUGGGCGAGAGCCUGAACCAGCCAAGUAGCGUGCAGGACGACGGCCCUAUGGGUUGUAAACUGCUUUUAUAAGGGAAUAAAGUGGGUCUCGUGAGACUUUUUGCAUGUACCUUAUGAAUAAGGACCGGCUAAUUCCGUG
rnacentral:rRNA from 1 species